rnacentral:rRNA from 1 species
GACGAACGCUGGCGGCGUGCUUAACACAUGCAAGUCGAACGGUAAGGCCCUUCGGGGUACACGAGUGGCGAACGGGUGAGUAACACGUGGGUGAUCUGCCCUGCACUUCGGGAUAAGCCUGGGAAACUGGGUCUAAUACCGGAUAGGACCACUGCCUGCAUGGGUGGUGGUGGAAGGCUUUUGCGGUGUGGGAUGGGCCCGCGGCCUAUCAGCUUGUUGGUGGGGUGAUGGCCUACCAAGGGGACGACGGGUAGGCGGCCUGAGAGGGUGACCGGCCAGACUGGGACUGAGAUACGGCCCAUACUCCUACGGGAGGCAGCAGUGGGGAAUAUUGCACAAUGGGCGCAAGCCUGAUGCAGCGACGCCGCGUGAGGGAUGACGGCCUUCGGGUUGUAAACCUCUUUCAGCACCGACGAAGCGCAAGUGACGGUAGGUGCAGAAGAAGGACCGGCCAACUACGUGCCAGCCGCCGCAGUAA